rnacentral:misc_RNA from 1 species
AAGUCGUAACAAGGUUUCCGUAGGUGAACCUGCGGAAGGAUCAAUGCGAGUGCGAAACAGUAGUGAGGUGUUGGAAUGUGUGAUGGUGAUGAGAGAGACCAGAAAGGACUAUAACUGUAUUCGUUUUAUGUUGUCUAUGACUUGCCACCCGGGAUCUCUGGGCUCUU